AUUGAACGCUGGCGGCAGGCUUAACACAUGCAAGUCGAGCGGAGAUGAGGUGCUUGCACCUUAUCUUAGCGGCGGACGGGUGAGUAAUGCUUAGGAAUCUGCCUAUUAGUGGGGGACAACAUUCCGAAAGGAAUGCUAAUACCGCAUACGUCCUACGGGAGAAAGCAGGGGAUCUUCGGACCUUGCGCUAAUAGAUGAGCCUAAGGCGGAUUAGCUAGUUGGUGGGGUAAAGGCCUACCAAGGCGAAGAUCUGUAGCGGGUCUGAGAGGAGGAUCCGCCACACUGGGACUGAGACACGGCCCAGACUCCUACGGAAGGCAGCAGUGGGGAAUAUUGGACAAUGGGGGGAACCCUGAUCCAGCCAUGCCGCGUGUGUGAAGAAGGCCUUAUGGUUGUAAAGCACUUUAAGCGAGGAGGAGGCUACUGAGACUAAUACUCUUGGAUAGUGGACGUUACUCGCAGAAUAAGCACCGGCUAACUCUGUGCCAGCCGCCGCAGUAAAAC
rnacentral:rRNA from 1 species